UCGUGGGGUGACACUGUACUUUUGAAAGUUGUGGAGCGAAAAUUUGUUCCGUAGAGCGUACCCUGUCAUUAUUAGUACUUUCAUUUCGACUUUACCAACAUUUCUACACUUCUCUCUGCUUCAUUUAAAUAAUUAUUGGCUGGUUACCUGAUUGAAAGAAUAGUGGCUUACGGCACAUACGUCACAGACGAUUAAUAAUCGAUGGUUCAAACUGGUAGGAAAUGAACGCCACAGAUGAUUAAUAACCAUUUGAUUUCCCAUGCAGAUUUGGUAAAGGUUAAGUUAUUAUAAUAAAGCAGACGUAUGUACACGACAAUUUUUUUUUUUUUAUUGGAUCAAUGGUAAUCAAUAUUUGUUAUAUAAUUGUUAUACGAGUUACGAUUGAUAUAUAAUGAUAUCAUUCUAUAAAAUAAUUGCAUAAUUUGUUAAAGAUCUUAAGAUUUAAA